GGAAUGGGAAUGGGGAUGGGAGGCAUGGGAAUGGGGAUGGGAGGCAUGGGAAUGGGAGGCAUGGGAGGCUAUGACGGCACGGGGGGACUAGGAGGGGAAGGGCUGGACGGUGGUUCGGGAGGAGGAGGCCUCAGUGACGCAUUGAACAAAGCAAAAGAGAAGCGGAAAAGGCACAAGGG
rnacentral:lncRNA from 1 species